rnacentral:lncRNA from 1 species
UCUGAAAUGAUUCUGAACUAUGUGUAGUCAAGUAACCACUGUAUAUAUUAUUUUCCUUUUAGAAAACAAAAUAAUUCUGAAAGAAAGAAAACAAAGAAAACAUACUCCAGAAUUCCUAAUAGAACAUAUAGCCAGAUGUAGUGAAGGUCCCAGCUGCCUCCUAAAAACCUGCUGUGGAACAACAGGAUCCAAGAGACUGAAGGAGCCAAUCAAGCUUAACAUUUGCAUGCGAAGGCCUCCCAGAAGCAAGGACUUCAGCUCCCUGGCUCCUUAUCCAUUCUGCUGCUUAUGGGCAAUAGGACCACACAAAGAAAUGCGCCUGUGCUUAGGAAAUAAAAAUAUUUACCCAAGUCAUAAUGUUCGUAUGUGGUGAUGAGAACCCAAUCAAUUCAAGAGGACAGAGAAAUUAAUUUAUAUAUUAGUUUUAAAAAUACAAAUUGACAUAAACAUUGGAAUAAUAGACACUGUAGACUACUAGAAAGGGGAGAGAGAAAGGGGGGUAUAGGUUGAAAAACUACCUAUGGGGCACUAGGUUCACUACCUAGGUGUAAUAUUCCCAUGUAGCAAAUCUGCACCUGUACCUACUGUAUCUAAAAUGAAAGUUGAGAUUUAAAAAAACUACAUAAAAAUGCAAAAUUUGAGACGGAGAGCUGCUUAAAGCAGCUUCAAGGAUUUUUAUCUUUCUUGAAUUUCUAUUUAGCAGUCAAUGUUUCACACUUGUAGUAUAUAAAUUAUCAAAACUAACACAUUUUCAGUAAAACUGGACUUGGAUGAUGUAACUUAUGCACAGUAUCCUCUAAAACACGGUUGUUCCCCCAUGUAGAGCAGCUGAGUGAACUAUAAGGAUCAAACAAAGAAAUCCACAUGAAAAAUGUAUGCUUAUCAAAAAGUUAUAUGAUGUUUCAUGUGAUUAAAUUCUAAGAAGAUGUUCCUAAAUGUUUCAUUCUUACAGCUGCAAAGCAGUGUUGACAUCAUCCGAUCCAAAUUCCCUGCUUUACCGCUGAAAAUCCAAUGCAUGUAGCAGUUCAGUGACUUUAAUGAUGGCACAGCCAGUGUUAGCCUAGAAACCCAAGGUGCCUGACCUUGAAGGAAGUUCAUAUAUAUACACAUAUUUGUACAUACAUAUAUACGCACAAAUAUGCAUAUGUUCAUACAUCUACCACCAAUCACAUACAUAUAUGUAACCUGAAUAUAUAUAUCCAGGUUAGGAAUCUGUUUGUCUUCCUUCAGAUUACUCCUAACCCCUGCCUCCUGUCUUCCUUCUCCUCUGGCAAACCCAUUUCCCAAUCACGAGCAUCCCAUUGCCCACUUACACACUGCUCACCACCCAGAAUAUAGGGAUUGAGUCUUACUCCCAAGAGACUCAUUUCAAGCCACCUCUUUCCCAGGCAUUGCUGGACUUGGCAUCUGAAUAUGUUUUGUUCUGCAGGAGUAGAUAGCCUCAUAUGCUAAUCGAGGGUGAAAGUUUUCUUUGUCUGUUGGGUUUCCUCUAACAUCUUAUGAAUAAUCUUAAAUAAAAUGUAGGGAAAGCAUUCAGUGACAUGAAAUAGAUCUCGAAAGAAAGGCAGACUGCUAUUCAACAUUGCUAGCCUCUCACUGAUUCCAGAAGCAAAGUGUCUGUAAUAAAGUAUUCAAUUUUACACUAUCCCCACUCAGGACUUGCUAACCACAAUCACUCCCUCACCCCACAACCUGCUCGCAUGCCCAUUUCUUAGUGUGGAUAUAAGGUCACCCAGAGACAGCUAACGAGCAAUGAGUCUGCUGCACUUGUGUACUGAGCCACCAGAGGUGCUAAUAGAAAGGAAAUAUCUUUUUUUUUUUUUUUUUUUUUGUUUUUUUUUUUUUUGCAUCCACCAAUUGUGGAUGGAUUUUUUUUUUUUUUUUUUUUUUUUUUUUUUUUUUUUUUUUGAGACGUUUUAGUCUCGCUUCUCCUCUCUCCCCCCGCCGUCGUCUCUCUCAGGC